rnacentral:misc_RNA from 1 species
CAAAAUCUCUACACCCUCGUACAAUUACAUGCUUUAUUCAUGGAAAUCAGAUUCAAAAUGCCAUAAUUUUUGAGUUUACGUGACAUUGGUGGCCCCAAGGAGUUACUGACUUUGUGGGUUGCCAAAGUUGAUACCUGGUCCAGUCUUUUUGAUCAGGAUUGAGAGCAUGUCCUUUGGAAUGGUAUAUAUACUCCUCACCUUCUCCAAAGAGAUUCUCCUUAUGCUCAUCCCCAUACCUCUUACGUUUUAGCAUCAGGAACUCAUCCCUUGUGUGAUCAGUUAUGAAAUAAAGCCAAACAUGCUAUUCUGGCAGCACUUGAGAAGAAUUAUACCAAUCCUUUUCUGCAUAUUCAACCCAUCCGUGCCUUC